CCUACGGGAGGCAGCAGUGAGGAAUAUUGGUCAAUGGACGCAAGUCUGAACCAGCCAAGCAGCGUGCAGGAAGACGGCUCUAUGGGUUGUAAACUGCUUUUGUACGGGAGUAAACGCAGUUACGUGUAUCUGUUUGCAAGUAUCGUAUGAAUAAGGAUCGGCUAACUCCGUGCCAGCAGCCGCGGUAAUACGGAGGAUUCAAGCGUUAUCCGGAUUUAUUGGGUUUAAAGGGAGCGUAGGCGGGAUGUUAAGUCAGAGGUGAAAUACCGAGGCUGAACUGCGGAAUUGCAUCUGAUACUGGUCGGCUUGAGUGCAGGUGCGGGAGGCGGAAUUCGUGGUGUAGCGGUGAAAUGCUUAGAGAUCAGGAAGAACACCGAUUGCGAAGGCAGCUUACUAAACUGCUACUGACGUUGAGGCUCGAAAGCGUGGGGAGCAAACAGGAUUAGAUACCCCUGUAGUG
rnacentral:rRNA from 1 species